rnacentral:rRNA from 1 species
UACGUAGGGGGCUAGCGUUGUCCGGAAUCAUUGGGCGUAAAGAGCGUGUAGGCGGCCCGGUAAGUCCGCUGUGAAAGUCCAGGGCUCAACCCUGGGAUGCCGGUUGAUACUGCCGGGCUCGAGUCCGGAAGAGGCGAGUGGAAUUCCUGGUGUAGCGGUGAAAUGCGCAGAUAUCAGGAGGAACACCAAUGGCGAAGGCAGCUCGCUGGGACGUGACUGACGCUGAGACGCGAAAGCGUGGGGAGCAAACAGG